AAACGUCUUGGUCCUAAACUUAGUGUUACUUUUUACUAUUAUCACACAUGCUAGUCUCCGCACGCCAGUGCAUACGCCUAUCAACACUCAACCUAGAGCAGGUAUCAGGCACACUGUAUUGUAGCCCAAAACACCUAGCCCCGCCACACCCCCACGGACUUCAGCAGUGGUAGAUCUUAAGCCAUAAGCCACACCCAGAUUUAAGCUUGACUUAGCCCUAGUUAUUUUAGGGCCGGCAAACUUCGUGCCAGCCGCCGCGGUUAUACGAAGGGCCCAAAAAAACACCAUCGGCGUAAAAUGUGACUAGAGAUCCGCUAAAUACAAGAAUCAAUAAACCAAGGACAUAGAUAUAAAACUCACGUGCCAACAAGAAAACCAACCUGAUUCUAACUAACAGCACCCUUGACCCCACGAAACCUGAGAAACAAACUAGGAUUAGAUACCCUACUAUGCUUAGCCAUAAAUCAAGGCAUACACCCAAACCUGAUGCCCGCCAGAGAAUUACAAUUCAACAAGAUUAAAACUCAAAGGACUUGACGGUGUCCCAUCCCCCUAGAGGAGCCUGUCCUAUAAUCGAUACCCCACGCUUUACCUUACCCCUCCUUGCCAGACCGCCUAUAUACCGCCGUCGCCAGCCCACUUAAUGAUAAAAAACACGUAGGCAGCAAAGACCAACCACUUAAACGCCAGGUCAAGGUGUAGCCCAUGGAGGGGCAGAGAUGGGCUACAUUUCCUACUAUAGAAUACACCACCAGCACUAUGAAACAUUAAGCUAGAAGGUGGAUUUAGCAGUAAAUACGCACAAGAUACGGCAUAUUGAACCCGGCCCUGGGACGCGUACACACCGCCCGUCACCCUCCUCAACAACACAUAAACCAAUUAAUUAACCACACAUACCAUCACAGAUGAGGCGAGUCGUAACAUGGUAAGCGUACCGGAAGGUGCGCUUGGCCCGAAC
rnacentral:ncRNA from 1 species